ACAAUAAUUACUAAGAAGGUUAUGUAUGUACAUCCUUAAAAAAAUGAAUUACUUAUAAAUCUUCAGAUGGGACCUUUUAAAAAAAUAAUAUCUCUUGACUAAUACAUACAGGUUUUCGCGGUUCAUUUUGCGAAAAAGAAAUUGAUUCUAGGUUUAAGAGGGAAAUUGUGGGACAAAACCAUUGAGUGAAAAUAUAAGAAAUUAUUAGAAGGCGUAAUGAUAAUGGAGUUCAUAUUAUUGAAUGUGAGUUUUUGGUGUAUUUAAAUGAUUGGAAGGUAAGUGGAGGAAGAAUAAUUGCUAAGAUACACUGGACUGAUAAUGUUCAGAAUAUAACUGCAUUGUUAUGCAGAAUUCUUGCAGUACUAGUCUACAAUUUACAAUCGAAUUGCAAACUCCAAAAUGAGUCCAAAUAAAAGAGGUGAAAAGCUCAGUAUUGAUGUUACAGAUAUAACACAAGAUUCUUGGCCUUCAUUCUGUUUACUUGUGCAAAUAUCUUUAAAUCAAUAAUAUAAUAAAUAUGCUGUAUUUAAAGCUUAGCGAGAGUUCUAAUAUGUAUGCACUAAUGAAAAUUUAUUACAAAAAGUAUCAAUUCUUAAUAUGAUAAUUCACAUAUUUUGCUUUAUAGAGCUUUAGAUGUUGACAAUGUACACUGAGAAGCUGCUAUAUGUACACCAAAUCGUUUGAUGAAGUAAACCACAAAAUUGUUAAUAAAUGUUCUAUGAUUGAGUUCCUUAAUUCAUUCUUGGUCAACAGACACUCAGCUGUUGAAAUUGAUAAUUAUAAUUCAAGUUUCAGAAUCCUUCAUAGUACGUUUUGGAGUACACCAACACUAAUUUAGAUAUUUGGUAAUAUUUUUAUUUUCUUUGCGGUGCCGUGGAAAACCUCACAGUCUACUUGGUGUUCAGUACUUACCGGCUCCAUAGACUUUGACAACAUAAAUGCCAGCAUGCACAUUGAGAGUUCGAAGAAGAAUUAUAUUAUCUAACUGUUGUAAACUUUACCAUAAUCUUUACUACCUCAUACUAUAACUGACGAAUCAAGCUCAAUUGGGUUUUUCUGUAUCUUAGUGUCUCAUUUUUAUUUUUGAUCACCAGUCAUCGCUUGCCCACAUAAAAGUGGUCUAAUUUUAAAUUUGGUAACUUUACUAUUUCAAUGUUCACAUUGUUACUAAUAUUAUGAUGAUUUUGAACUUACUUUAAAUAAAGGUUUUUCAAUUAAGA